UACGUAGGUGGCAAGCGUUGUCCGGAAUUAUUGGGCGUAAAGCGCGCGCAGGCGGUCCUUUAAGUCGGAUGUGAAAGCCCCGGGCUCAACCCGGGAAGUGCUCUCGAUACUGUCGAGCUAGAGUAUCGGAGAGGUUGGUGGAAUUCUCGGUGUAGAGGUGAAAUUCGUAGAUAUCGAGAGGAACACCGGUGGCGAAGGCGGCCAACUGGACGAAUACUGACGCUGAGACUCGAAAGCGUGGGGAGCAAACAGG
rnacentral:rRNA from 1 species